GAAGGUGGCCUGUGAGGGUUGCUGGAGGUAUCAGAAGUGCGAAUGCUGACAUAAGUAACGAUAAAGCGGGUGAAAAGCCCGCUCGCCGGAAGACCAAGGGUUCCUGUCCAACGUUAAUCGGGGCAGGGUGAGUCGACCCCUAAGGCGAGGCCGAAAGGCGUAGUCGAUGGGAAACGGGUUAAUAUUCCCGUACUUGGUGUUACUGCGAAGGGGGGACGGAGAAGGCUAUGUUGGCCGGGCGACGGUUGUCCCGGUUUAAGCGUGUAGGUGUGUGUUCCAGGUAAAUCCGGUUCACUUUAACACUGAGGCGUGACGACGAGGCACUACGGUGCUGAAGCAACAAAUGCCCUGCUUCCAGGAAAAGCCUCUAAGCAUCAGGUAACAUCAAAUCGUACCCCAAACCGACACAGGUGGUCAGGUAGAGAAUACCAAGGCGCUUGAGAGAACUCGGGUGAAGGAACUAGGCAAAAUGGUGCCGUAACUUCGGGAGAAGGCACGCUGACACGUAGGUGAAGUGAUUUACUCAUGGAGCUGAAGUCAGUCGAAGAUACCAGCUGGCUGCAACUGUUUAUUAAAAACACAGCACUGUGCAAACACGAAAGUGGACGUAUACGGUGUGACGCCUGCCCGGUGCCGGAAGGUUAAUUGAUGGGGUCAGCGCAAGCGAAGCUCCUGAUCGAAGCCCCGGUAAACGGCGGCCGUAACUAUAACGGUCCUAAGGUAGCGAAAUUCCUUGUCGGGUAAGUUCCGACCUGCACGAAUGGCGUAAUGAUGGCCAGGCUGUCUCCACCCGAGACUCAGUGAAAUUGAACUCGCUGUGAAGAUGCAGUGUACCCGCGGCAAGACGGAAAGACCCCGUGAACCUUUACUAUAGCUUGACACUGAACAUUGAGCCUUGAUGUGUAGGAUAGGUGGGAGGCUUUGAAGUGUGGACGCCAGUCUGCAUGGAGCCGACCUUGAAAUACCACCCUUUAAUGUUUGAUGUUCUAACGUGGACCCGUUACCCGGGUUGCGGACAGUGUCUGGUGGGUAGUUUGACUGGGGCGGUCUCCUCCUAAAGAGUAACGGAGGAGCACGAAGGUUGGCUAAUCCUGGUCGGACAUCAGGAGGUUAGUGCAAUGGCAUAAGCCAGCUUGACUGCGAGCGUGACGGCGCGAGCAGGUGCGAAAGCAGGUCAUAGUGAUCCGGUGGUUCUGAAUGGAAGGGCCAUCGCUCAACGGAUAAAAGGUACUCCGGGGAUAACAGGCUGAUACCGCCCAAGAGUUCAUAUCGACGGCGGUGUUUGGCACCUCGAUGUCGGCUCAUCACAUCCUGGGGCUGAAGUAGGUCCCAAGGGUAUGGCUGUUCGCCAUUUAAAGUGGUACGCGAGCUGGGUUUAGAACGUCGUGAGACAGUUCGGUCCCUAUCUGCCGUGGGCGCUGGAGAACUGAGGGGGGCUGCUCCUAGUACGAGAGGACCGGAGUGGACGCAUCACUGGUGUUCGGGUUGUCAUGCCAAUGGCACUGCCCGGUAGCUAAAUGCGGAAGAGAUAAGUGCUGAAAGCAUCUAAGCACGAAACUUGCCCCGAGAUGAGUUCUCCCUGAGACUUUAGGUCUCCUGAAGGAACGUUGAAGACGACGACGUUGAUAGGCCGGGUGUGUAAGCGCAGCGAUGCGUUGAGCUAACCGGUACUAAUGAACCGUGAGGCUUAACCUUACAACGCCGAAG
rnacentral:rRNA from 1 species